UGNGUGCUUAUAAUGUGCCAGGUACUGUUUU
rnacentral:piRNA from 1 species